UUCAAUUUUAAUUAGUUCCGUACAAAUUUAACAUUCAAAAAAUGCUAUGAUUAUGGAAUGUAGUUAUUGCAUUACCAUUUAAAAUUUAAUAUAAUUGUCAGUCUUUGAUUACGCUCAAUUUUAAGAAUUCAAAGAUAUGUGAUUGAUUAUUCUGAUACGCUUAAAUAAAUAAGGGAAAUUAUAAUGACAUGGCAAAAUCUAAAAUAUGUGGCAUUGAGGUGGACUUUUUUUUGAAAUAUGUGGCAUUGAUGACGUGGCACUGUUCAGGAUUCUAUAUAUCUAUAUAAAGUAAAAUCCCGGGCGGCUGACAUGUCGCUCCCUAGACUCUUAAACUCAAAUCUUUGCUCUCUGAGCGAACUUCGCUCAGCUAAAUCAGCUCUCCUUUAAUUGAUUGAUGUAUGCAGUGCUGAUCAAACCUGAUGGCUCUUCGCUUGCCUUGCAGUUAUUUUCUGGCUGGAACUUGGACAGGCUCCGCAGAUUUCCCCAAAUCGUAACUGAAGUCUCUGUGCCUCCUCGGAGUUUCUUAUAAAUGGCCUUCCUUGGGCAAUCCUUCCACAUCGGUUUGCUAUUUCAGAACCAGCUAUGAAAAGGGUGGUUGAGGAGUUGUUGUGGCUGGAACUCUUUUGGCUGAUUCAUUGGUGGGCUGCUGUUAAGUCUUGGAAGGCCUGUAGAUGCCGUGUGGGAGUCAUGAUUCUUGAAAACAACUCACAUAUACAGAUGUAUGCACAUAUAUCGGAACUGGGAUGUCUGCAAAAAUUGUUACCUCUUAGGUAAUAUUUAGUAUGAGAGUUAUGCUGACAAUGUGCAGGAGCCUAAAUGAGGCGGCAUAUAAAGCUGAUCCUCCUUCUUCUGAGGGCAGUCUUGGUGAAAUUGAGAUUCCAGGUAUACAAGAUUGUGUUAUUGUUAUCUGAUGUCAUUUCUAGCCAUUCAAUGUAACUUCCUGCUGCUUUUUGUCUCACACAAAUCUCUGCGAGUGCUUGAAUCAUUAAUCUCUUUAUUGGUAUCUUUGCUCUGGAGGCUGGAUGCAGGACUUUUAAGACAUUAUGGCUAUGCUGGCCAUAUCCGAGCUUAACAAAACUUCAUUCAAAUCAUUUUUUUUGGUUUUGAUCUACUUGGAAACAAAUUGUCAUUCAUUGUGAAUCAUGAUAGCCGGGCUGAGCCAGGAGUUUGCAAUCACACAAGCAUAGGCAAACUUCGGAAAGUGGAAGUCUUGAUGUUGUAACCUGUAAGUAGCAAGCUCAGACAAUUUUUGUAAUAAGCAGAAUGCUUAUAUUUUUCCCUGGCCGGCCAACAAAAUGUUGUGACUUGUGAGCUGUGUUCCAAAGACCGGAUUGUCUUUGUAGUUUGUAAUGAGCAUUAGUUUAUAUAGCUCACAACUCAGAAGGCUGUGUUGUAUUGUUCAUAUUGUAGUUUGGGCUUAACUAUAUAGCACGUGCCGACGGUGCAGAAAGUGAUGAAAGGCAUGCAAGGCAUCAUCUUGCAGAUCAUGC